rnacentral:rRNA from 1 species
CCUACGGGGGGCUGCAGUGGGGAAUAUUGGACAAUGGGGGGAACCCUGAUCCAGCCAUGCCGCGUGUGUGAAGAAGGCCCUCGGGUUGUAAAGCACUUUCAAUGAGGAAGAACGCCUGGUGGUUAAUACCCAUCAGGAAAGACAUCACUCACAGAAGAAGCACCGGCUAACUCCGUGCCAGCAGCCGCGGUAAUACGGAGGGUGCGAGCGUUAAUCGGAAUUACUGGGCGUAAAGCGCGCGUAGGUGGCUUGAUAAGCCGGUUGUGAAAGCCCCGGGCUCAACCUGGGAACGGCAUCCGGAACUGUCAAGCUAGAGUGCAGGAGAGGAAGGUAGAAUUCCCGGUGUAGCGGUGAAAUGCGUAGAGAUCGGGAGGAAUACCAGUGGCGAAGGCGGCCUUCUGGACUGACACUGACACUGAGGUGCGAAAGCGUGGGUAGCAAACAGGAUUAGAUACCCGGGUAGUC